GACGAACGCUGGCGGCGUGCUUAACACAUGCAAGUCGAACGGAAAGGCCUGCUUUCCCUUGUGGAUUGCGGGUACUCGAGUGGCGAACGGGUGAGUCACACGUGAGUGAUCUGCCCCCAACUUGGGUAUAAGCCUGGGAAACUGGGUCUAAUUCCCGAUAGGACUGCAGGGUGGUGCCUGUGGUGGAAAACGAUUUUCUAGUGGUUGGGGAUGAGGUCGCGGCCUAUCAGCUUGUUGGUGGGGUAAUGGCCUACCAAGGCGGCGACGGGUAGCCGGCCUGGGAGGGUGGACGGCCACAUUGGGACUGAGAGACGGACCAGACUCCGACGGGAGGCAGCAGUGGGGAAUGUUGCACGAUGGGCGGAAGCCUGAAGCAGCGACGCCGCGGGGGGGAUGACGGCCUUCGGGUUGUAAACUCCUUUCGGCCGCGAGGAAGCCACCUGGUUGGAAGGGUGGUGACGGUAGUGGGAGAAGAAGCACCGGCUAACUACGUG
rnacentral:rRNA from 1 species